UACGUAGGCAGCAAGCGUUGUUCGGAGUUACUGGGCGUAAAGAGCGUGUAGGCGGCCAAACAGGUCCGUUGUGAAAACUGGAGGCUCAACCUCCAGACGUCGACGGAAACCGUGUGGCUAGAGUCCGGAAGAGGAGAGUGGAAUUCCUGGUGUAGCGGUGAAAUGCGCAGAUAUCAGGAAGAACACCAAUGGCGAAGGCAGCUCUCUGGGACGGUACUGACGCUGAGACGCGAAAGCGUGGGGAGCGAACAGG
rnacentral:rRNA from 1 species